UACGAAGGGGGCUAGCGUUGCUCGGAAUCACUGGGCGUAAAGCGCACGUAGGCGGACUCUUAAGUCGGGGGUGAAAUCCUGGAGCUCAACUCCAGAACUGCCUUUGAUACUGGGAGUCUUGAGUUCGGGAGAGGUGAGUGGAACUGCGAGUGUAGAGGUGAAAUUCGUAGAUAUUCGCAAGAACACCAGUGGCGAAGGCGGCUCACUGGCCCGAUACUGACGCUGAGGUGCGAAAGCGUGGGGAGCAAACAGG
rnacentral:rRNA from 1 species